AGAGGAAGUAAAAGUCGUAACAAGGUUUCCGUAGGUGAACCUGCGGAAGGAUCAUUAAUGAAUUUYAAUGAGUGGGGUUGUCGCUGGCCUACUUGUAGGCAUGUGCACGCUUCAUUUCAUCCUAUCUUCAUACCACUGUGCACUUCUCAUAGGUUGGAUUGUAAGAGCUGUUUUAUUGCGGCGAUGAAGUCCUUUCUAUGUGUUUUACAAUAAACUUGUCUGUCUUAGAAUGUUACUAUCAUGCAUGAAUGCAUAUAAUACAACUUUCAGCAACGGAUCUCUUGGCUCUCGCAUCGAUGAAGAACGCAGCGAAAUGCGAUAAGUAAUGUGAAUUGCAGAAUUCAGUGAAUCAUCGAAUCUUUGAACGCACCUUGCGCUCCUUGGUAUUCCGAGGAGCAUGCCUGUUUGAGUGUCAUGGUAUUCUCAAUUCAUCUGUAUUUUUGUUUAAAUGCAGUUUGAAUUGGAUGUGGAGGUGUGCCGGUGUCUCUUGGAUAUUGGCUCCUCUUAAAUGCAUUAGCUUGAAUAUUACUGAGCAUAYAUCAGCGUGAUAAAUGUCUACGUUGUGUAUGAUUGGUAUCUUUAUGUGUUCUAGCUUCAAAUCGUCUCUCUGGAGACAAUUUACUUUGAACAUCUGACCUCAAAUCAGGUAGGACUACCCGCUGAACUUAAGCAUAUCAAUAAGCGGAGGAAAAGAAACUAACAAGGAUUCCCCUAGUAACUGCGAGUGAAGCGGGAAAAGCUCAAAUUUAAAAUCUGGCAGCUUUGGCUGUCCGAGUUGUAGUCUGGAGAAGCGUUUUCUGUGCUGGACCGUGUACAAGUCUCUUGGAAUAGAGCGUCAUAGAGGGUGAGAAUCCCGUCUUUGAUACGGACUGCCAGUGCUGUGUGAUGCGCUCUCAAAGAGUCGAGUUGUUUGGGAAUGCAGCUCAAAAUGGGUGGUAAAUUCCAUCUAAAGCUAAAUAUUGGCGAGAGACCGAUAGCGAACAAGUACCGUGAGGGAAAGAUGAAAAGCACUUUGGAAAGAGAGUUAAACAGUACGUGAAAUUGCUGAAAGGGAAACGCUUGAAGUCAGUCGCAUUGUCCAAAACUCAGCCUUGCUUUUGCUUGGUGCAUUUUUUGGUUAAUGGGCCAGCAUCAAUUUUGACCGCUGGAUAAAGGCCUUGGGAAGGUGGCACCUUCGGGUGUGUUAUAGCCCUUGGUUGCAUACAGCGGUUGGGAUUGAGGAUCUCAGCAUGCCUUUAUGGUCGGGGUUCGCCCACGUUCAUGCUUAGGAUGCUGGCGUAAUGGCUUUAAACGACCCGUCUUGAAACACGGACCAAGGAGUCCAACAUGCCUGCGAGUGUUUGGGUGGAAAACCCGAGCGCGUAAUGAAAGUGAAAGUUGGGAUCUCUGUCAUGGGGAGCACCGACGCCCGGACCAGACCUUCUGUGACGGACCCGCGGUAGAGCAUGUAUGUUGGGACCCGAAAGAUGGUGAACUAUGCCUGAAUAGGGUGAAGCCAGAGGAAACUCUGGUGGAGGCUCGUAGCGAUUCUGACGUGCAAAUCGAUCGUCAAAUUUGGGUAUAGGGGCGAAAGACUAAUCGAACCAUCUAGUAGCUGGUUCCUGCCGAAGUUUCCCUCAGGAUAGCAGAAACUCAUGUCAGAUUUAUGUGGUAAAGCGAAUGAUUAGAGGCCUUGGGGUUGAAACAACCUUAACCUAUUCUCAAACUUUAAAUAUGUAAGAACGAGCCGUCACUUGAUUGGACCGCUCGGCGAUUGAGAGUUUCUAGUGGGCCAUUUUUGGUAAGCAGAACUGGCGAUGCGGGAUGAACCGAACGCGAGGUUAAGGUGCCGGAAUAUACGCUCAUCAGACACCACAAAAGGUGUUAGUUCAUCUAGACAGCAGGACGGUGGCCAUGGAAGUCGGAAUCCGCUAAGGAGUGUGUAACAACUCACCUGCCGAAUGAACUAGCCCUGAAAAUGGAUGGCGCUCAAGCGUAUUACCCAUACCUCGCCGUCAGUGUUGAAGUGAUGCACUGACGAGUAGGCAGGCGUGGAGGUUUGUGAAGAAGCCUAGGCAGUAAUGCUGGGUGAAACAGCCUCUAGUGCAGAUCU
rnacentral:rRNA from 1 species